AAUGAACGCUGGCGGCGUGCUUUACACAUGCAAGUCGAGCGAGGCCAGGGGGCAACUCCUGAGUCGAGCGGCGAACGGGUGAGUAACGCGUGGAUAACCUGCCCAGAGGUGGGGGAUAACCCGGGGAAACUCGGGCUAAUACCGCAUGAUACCGAGAGGUCAAAGGCGGCUCGCAAGGGCUGUCGCCAUUGGAGGGGUCCGCGUCCGAUUAGCUAGUUGGUAGGGUAAUGGCCUACCAAGGCCACGAUCGGUAGCCGGCCUGAGAGGGUGAUCGGCCACACUGGAACUGAGACACGGUCCAGACUCCUACGGGAGGCAGCAGUGGGGAAUUUUGCGCAAUGGGCUAAAGCCUGACGCAGCGACGCCGCGUGGAGGAGGAAGUCCUUCGGGAUGUAAACUCCUUUUGCCAGGGAAGAAACGCCCGCAAGGGCUAUGACGGUACCUGGUGAAUAAGCCCCGGCUAACUACGUGCCAGCAGCCGCGGUAAUACGUAGGGGGCGAGCGUUGUCCGAAGUUACUGGGCGUAAAGCGCGCGUAGGCGGGGGAUUAAGUGAGAGGUGAAAGGCUGGGGCUCAACCUCAUGCAGUGCCUCUCAUACUGGUCUUCUUGAGGGCGGUAGGGAGAAGUGGAAUGGCUGGUGUAGCGGUGAAAUGCGUAGAUAUCAGUCGGAACACCGGUGGCGAAGGCGGCUUCUUGGGCCGUUCCUGACGCUGAGGCGCGAAAGCUGGGGGAGCGAACGGGAUUAGAUACCCCGGUAGUCCCAGCCGUAAACGAUGGAUACUAGGUGUUGGGGGUAUCGACCCCUCCAGUGCCGCAGCUAACGCAUUAAGUAUCCCGCCUGGGGAGUACGGCCGCAAGGUUGAAACUCAAAGAAAUUGACGGGGGCCCGCACAAGCGGUGGAGUAUGUGGCUCAAUUCGAUGCAACGCGAAGAACCUUACCAGGCCUUGACAUGCAUCUCUAAACCGGUGAAAGCCGGCGAGUGUCGAAAGACACAAUUUGCACAGGUGCUGCAUGGCUGUCGUCAGCUCGUGUCGUGAGAUGUUGGGUUAAGUCCCGCAACGAGCGCAACCCCUGUGAACUGUUGCCACCGGAGCGAGAGCUCCGAGCACUCUGUUCAGACUGCCUCGCUUAAACGAGGAGGAAGGUGGGGACGACGUCAAGUCAGUAUGGCCCUUACGGCCUGGGCUGCACACGUACUACAAUGCCCAGUACAGAACGAUCCGAUACCGCGAGGUGGAGGAAAUCACUCAAAACUGGGCCCAGUUCGGAUUGGAGGCUGCAAUUCGCCUCCAUGAAGCCGGAAUCGCUAGUAAUGGCGCAUCAGCUACGGCGCCGUGAAUACGUUCCCGGGCCUUGUACACACCGCCCGUCACAUCAUGAAAGCCGUUUGUACCCGAAGUCGCCCCUUAAAAGGCGCCGAAGGUAUGGAUGGUGAUUGGGAUGA
rnacentral:rRNA from 1 species